ensembl:lncRNA
UGUUCCUAUUUCCUUUAAAGUUUAUUCAUAAAAAAAUUUAAAAAAAAAAAAAAAGAAAAAAAAAAAAAAACAAGACAAAAACAAAAAAAAACGCCACACAGUCAGGUGUUCAUUUUGAACCCCACUGACCAUCUAGUCAAUCUCAAAAUACAUGCUGAACAACAUGUAGCUAUCAUUUACCAUGAGGCAUAAUGCCCAUGCAAGAGGACAGAUAUGGAGUUUGAAAUGCCAGAUAUGCCUGUUCAGCUGUGACGGACCAUAAGAACAUUCUAGAAUGUCUGGGAAUAGUGACAUUAAGCCUGAUCUGGCCAGUGAUCCUGACUGAAGUGAUUGAGGAACAUCUGCAGUCUUUCUUCUGUGGUAUGAGCUAAGGAGCUUCAUCCCACUCAGACAUGAAAACGUUUUUCACAGCAGGAAGCAUCGCGAUUCAUUUACUGCAGCAGCGUCUCAGUCUCAGUCAUCCCGCGGAUGAGAAUAAUUGCAGAUGGGUGUUAUUUGCGCACGCACCAGCAGGCGGCUUACACGCGUUUCAGCAUCCAAGCUGUCUUCUGGACGCUUAAGUUUGUCUUCAGCUAUGGCAAACAAAUGUCAAGAGCAGCCAUGAGCAACACACACCCCCCUCGGGAGCAGCACUGUUGAUGUUUAAGAGUGGAAAGUACCCAUUUGAAACCACUGUCCAUUAAGGUAUUAAGAACA